rnacentral:tRNA from 1 species
GCCUUCUUGGUGUAAAGGUAGCACACUCGGCGUGUAUUCAAGAGGUCCAGGGUUCAAGUCCCGGCGAGGGCA